rnacentral:misc_RNA from 1 species
GAUGAAGGAACGUAGCGAAAUGCGAUACUUGGUGUGAAUUGCAGAAUCCCGUGAACCAUCGAGUCUUUGAACGCAAGUUGCGCCCGAAGCCAUUAGGCCGAGGGCACGCCUGCCUGGGCGUCACACGUCGUUGCCCCCCCAUCUACUCCUUCGGGAUUGCGGGGGGCGGAUGAUGGCCUCUCGUGCGCCUCGUCGCGCGGUUGGCCUAAAUGCCAAGUCCUCGGCGACGCACGCCACGACAAUCGGUGGUUGCGAAACCUCGGUUGCCUGUCGUGUGCGGUCGUCGCGCAUCGAGGGCUCGAAAAAAUUGCCGGGCUUCGGCUCGACUUUCAACGCGACCCCAGGUCAGGCGGGGUUACCCGCUGAAUUUAAGCAUAUCAAUAAGCGGAGGA